rnacentral:rRNA from 1 species
UACGGAGGGUGCAAGCGUUAUCCGGAUUCACUGGGUUUAAAGGGCGCGUAGGAGGGCAGGUAAGUCAGUGGUGAAAUCUCCAAGCUUAACUUGGAAACUGCCGUUGAUACUGUAGGACUUGAGUACAGAUGAUGUUGGCGGAAUAUGACAUGUAGCGGUGAAAUGCAUAGAUAUGUCAUAGAACACCGAUUGCGAAGGCAGCUGACAAAACUGUAACUGACGCUGAGGCACGAAAGUGUGGGGAUCAAACAGG